rnacentral:rRNA from 1 species
UACGUAGGGUGCGAGCGUUAAUCGGAAUUACUGGGCAUAAAGCGUGCGCAGGCGGUUUUGUAAGCCAGAUGUGAAAGCCCCGGGCUUAACCUGGGAAUGGCAUUUGGGACUGCAAGGCUAGAGUGUGGCAGAGGAGACUGGAAUUCCUGGUGUAGCAGUGAAAUGCGUAGAUAUCAGGAGGAAUACCGAUGGCGAAGGCAGGUCUCUGGGUUAACACUGACGCUCAUGCACGAAAGCGUGGGGAGCAAACAGG